CACGUAGGGGACAAGCGUUGUCCGGAAUCAUUGGGCGUAAAGGGUGCGUAGGCGGCGCGGUAAGUCGGGUGUGAAAUCUCGGAGCUUAACUCCGAAACUGCAUUCGAUACUGCCGUGCUUGAGGACUGGAGAGGAGACUGGAAUUUACGGUGUAGCGGUGAAAUGCGUAGAUAUCGUAAGGAAGACCAGUGGCGAAGGCGGGUCUCUGGACAGUUCCUGACGCUGAGGCACGAAGGUCAGGGGAGCAAACGGG
rnacentral:rRNA from 1 species